UGUGAAGUCGGUUGGUUCGUUAGCUCUACAAAUCUCCUGUCGACUUCACUAUCAAUCAUGGCGCCCAUUCUUGGAUAUUGGGGUAUUAGAGGCUUGGCCCAGAACAUCCGCUACGUCCUCCACUACACAGGCACGGAGUUCGUAGACAAGCACUACACCACUGAGUGGGCGGACGACAAGGAGAACCUGGGUUUGGAGUUCCCCAACCUUCCAUACA